rnacentral:misc_RNA from 1 species
AUAUCUCAGGGGACUCUCAGCAGGU